UACGGAGGGGGCUAGCGUUGUUCGGAAUUACUGGGCGUAAAGCGCACGUAGGCGGCUUUGCAAGUUAGAGGUGAAAGCCCGGGGCUCAACUCCGGAAUUGCCUUUAAAACUGCAUCGCUAGAAUUGUGGAGAGGUAAGUGGAAUUCCGAGUGUAGAGGUGAAAUUCGUAGAUAUUCGGAAGAACACCAGUGGCGAAGGCGACUUACUGGACACAUAUUGACGCUGAGGUGCGAAAGCGUGGGGAGCAACAAGGA
rnacentral:rRNA from 1 species